CCUUCCUCUCAUGGUUUCUUUGCAGAAGCAAGUGCUCAGGGAAAUCAAGACAGGAGAACGGUCAUGAGCUAUGCCGACAGUCAGCAGCUGAUCCCCAACAGAGACACAGCAGACGCAGACGUUGGCAGCAGACAUAGAAUACAGCAAUGGAGGACUCAUGCCACCUGCUCAUGGGCCCUGCCUCUUCACUGUGGUUCAGGUCCUGGUUCUCAUGGGUUUUCAGGUCCAGGUAGGUCUCCUAUAUCAUGCUUAGCUCUGAAGUCAGUGAAGGCUGCUAGAGGGUCACUGUGGGAGCCCCCACCCUCGCCACUACCCCUGGGCCAUCCUGCUCGGUCCCUAUGUGGGCAUCACGAUGGGGAAGCAUCUCCAUCAGUAGCCAUGACCUGUCAGGACUCCUCAGAGACCAGCCUGCUUCCCAGGCUCCAGGCAGCUGGGCAGACAUUCAAGACUUGCUUCAUUCCUCAUCUCUGCCACCAACCUCGUCAGGUGGUCACCUGGCUGCCAAACAUGAUAGGUCUCCAGUUGCACAUCCUUCCAUCUGACUUGGCUCUCUCGGGUGGGAAACAGGCACUCCUGGCCUCCUCUCUCCGGAGAGGACCAUGGAUCCUGACAAAGUAUCUUAGAAUCUUGGUAGCUUGUGCAGCUGCAGUGCACCUAGACUUCUCUCUGCUGGCCAGCUGAGGCCUGGACCUCACCAUCUCUCGUCCCUCUUUAAAAAGGGGGCCACAUG
rnacentral:lncRNA from 10 species